UGCUACUUUUGCCGGCGAGCGGCGGACGGGUGAGUAAUGCCUGGGAAAUUGCCCAGUCGAGGGGGAUAACAGUUGGAAACGACUGCUAAUACCGCAUACGCCCUACGGGGGAAAGCAGGGGACCUUCGGGCCUUGCGCGAUUGGAUAUGCCCAGGUGGGAUUAGCUAGUUGGUGAGGUAAUGGCUCACCAAGGCGACGAUCCCUAGCUGGUCUGAGAGGAUGAUCAGCCACACUGGAACUGAGACACGGUCCAGACUCCUACGGGAGGCAGCAGUGGGGAAUAUUGCACAAUGGGGGAAACCCUGAUGCAGCCAUGCCGCGUGUGUGAAGAAGGCCUUCGGGUUGUAAAGCACUUUCAGCGAGGAGGAAAGGUCAGUAGCUAAUAUCUGCUGACUGUGACGUUACUCGCAGAAGAAGCACCGGCUAACUCCGUGCCAGCAGC
rnacentral:rRNA from 1 species